AUUGAACGCUGGCGGCAGGCCUAACACAUGCAAGUCGAGCGAGCGGCGGACGGGUGAGUAAUGUCUGGGAAACUGCCUGAUGGAGGGGGAUAACUACUGGAAACGGUAGCUAAUACCGCAUACCAUCAGAUGUGCCCCGAUGGGAUUAGCCAGUAGGUGGGGUAACGGCUCACCUAGGCGACCAUCCCUAGCUGGUUUGUGGGGAUGACCAGCCAAGCUGGAACUGAGACACGGUCCAGACUCCUACGGGAGGCAGCAGUGGGGAAUAUUGAACAAUGGGCGCAAGCCUGAUGCAGCCAUGCCGCGUGUGUGAAGAAGGCCUUCGGGUUGUAAAGCACUUUCAGCGGGGAGGCGUUACCUGCAGCAGAAGCACCGGCUAACUCCGUGCCAGCCGCCGCGGUAAUUC
rnacentral:rRNA from 1 species